AUGAUACUCCCUCCGUUCGGAAUUACUUGUCUCGGAAAUGGAUGUAUCUAGAAUUAAAAUACGUCUAGAUACAUCCAUGUGUGCGACAAGUAAUUCCGAACGAAGGGAGUAGAAC
rfam:Triticum aestivum genome assembly, contig: Triticum_aestivum_CS42_TGACv1_scaffold_288522_4AL